GUCAAUUUCAUGUUUUGGCUGAGUUGGGUCUGGCAGGUGUAUGGUUAAUAAACCAGGUCUAAAUAUUUCUAGGCUACCGGUGGCUCGGGCACGUGCUGACAGCAAUGUUGUGGAUGGUGAUAUUGGCUUCGAACAUGGAUGAAAACAAGAUCUGGUCUCUUUUUUUUUACUCAGACAGUGUUGAUGAGCUGACCUAGGAGAUAAAAGGAGAACAAAUGAGGCAGAAGGAUUUGUGGGCCCUGCUCAACAGCUCCAUCCUUAGGAACUCCAGGACGAUGAAGUUCCACGGCUGGGAGGGAGCCUUUCUGGACAGAGUCCUGUGCAUCUGAGGCCAGGAGCUGGGCGCCUUGCGGACCUCCGGCCUCCUCUUCUCUGUGUCUCUGGUGUCCUUCCAAGCAUCUACCUUUCUGGUGAUGUCACUCUAGUCACUAUGCCGAGCAGGACUGGGGAAGGAGUGUGGGGCUCAGAAGGUGAGGUCUUCACGGACAUUCACAAUGGCAGCUCGGGCUUUGAGCAUUCUGGACGCAUCCUGAUGGGACCCACAUCUCUCAACUACUCUGUGAGCUGCUGUUACCAUGAUGGGCACCUGGAGCUCUCUGGCCAGAGCCAGCAUAACAGUGAGGCCUUGUGGGCUAGAUUCCCAGGCAAGGCCUCCCUGCUCGCAGAGCUGCAGAUACAUGGUAAGGCACUCAGCGCACAGCCCUGGGACUGGGGAGCUAGCUUCUUCCAUGCCUGGGCCAGCCAGCAGCCUCAGGCCUGGACCCAGAUGGCACCCCAUCAAGCCCAGUGUGGCCCUGGGCUCUGGGACAACCAGGAAAGCCUUGCCCAUGAAUGGCCUCACUCCCAAGGCAGGCGGAUUAGUUUCCUAGGACUUCUGCAACCAAGUCCCACACACCGAAUGGCUUAAAACACAGAAAUCUUAGUUGGUGUGCACAGGAAUCUUAGCCGGAUGUGGUGGCACGUGUGUGGUCCCAGCUGCUCGGGAGGCUGAGGCAGGAAAAGCACUUGAGCCAGAAGGUGGAGGCUGCAGUGAGCUAUGAUUGCAACACUGUGCUCCAGCCUGGGUGACAGAAUGAGACCCUGUCUCAAAAUAAAACAAUCCACAGUGGAUUGAACACCCGUCUGUCUUGAAUGUGACAUUAUUUUUACUUAUUCCAUCUGUUAAGACCAUUUAUUUAUUUACUUACUUAUGUACUUAUUUAUUUAUGACUGAAUCUCACUCUGUCACCCAGGCUGGAGUGCGGUGGUGUGAUCUUGGCUCACUGCAACCUCUGCCUCUCAUGUUCAAGUGAUUCUCCUGCCUCAGCCUCCUGAGUAGCUGGGAUUACAGGCAUGCACCACCACGCCUGGCUAAUUUUUCUAUUGUUAGUAGUGACAGGGUUUCGCCAUGUUGGUCAGACUGGCCUCAAACUCCUGACCUUGUGAUCCACCUACCUCGGCCUUCCAAAGUGCUGGGGUGACAGUUGUGAGCCACCGCACCCAGCCAAGACCGUAUUUUUAAAUAAGGUCAUAUUCAUAGGACAGAGGGUGAGGGGAAUGGGACUUCAUUAUCUCUGUUUGGGGUCCAUGGUUCAGCCCAUUAUGGGGGGAAAAUAAAAGCAAUGAGAGGAGCCAGCAUUGGCUGGGCACUUACUACCUACACGCCAGGCAAACUGUCCCCAUCACACAGGGGAAUGCCACAGCUCUUAGAAGGGCCUGCGAGCCGGCAGAACCCGCACCCUUCCCCCAUCUGACCUCGUCUCCCGGCCCCCAACCCCACCUGUUCCACUCCGUUCUAGUCUUUAUCACACCAGGUUUGCUGCUGCCCCAGGACCUUGGCACAGGCUGAUCCUGCCGCCUGGAAUGCCUCUCUCCCACACACCUGCCUGUCUCCCUCGCCUCCUUUAGGUGUUUUUCCAAUGGCAUCUCAGGGAGGCCUCUUUUCCACCUCCCCAUCUCCUCCCACCCUCUCCCCAGUUCUGUCAUUUGAACACACCAUGUAGCAUACAAAUACCUUUGUUUCUCAUUUUCUCUGCACUAGAAUCACCAGAAUGUGUGCUCCAUGAGGGCAGGGAUGAUUUUUGUCUGCUUUGCCACAGGGCACAUAGUAGGUGUUGAACAUGCGUGAAUGAGCAUAUGAGGUAGGGUUAGGAAUGCCAUUCCCAUUCUGCAGAUGAGGAAUGGAGGCUCAGAGAGGUUAAGUCACCUGGCCCAGGCCACACAGCUGGUAAUGACAGAGCAAGGAUUGAACCCAAAGCUACCCUCUGACCCCCAUAUAGAUUACGGAGACCUGGCUCUUGACCAUUCAGGACCCCUG
rnacentral:lncRNA from 1 species